GACGAACGCUGGCGGCGUGCUUAACACAUGCAAGUCGCACGGAAAGGCCCUGCUUUUGUGGGGUGCUCGAGUGGCGAACGGGUGAGUAACACGUGAGUAACCUGCCCUUGACUUUGGGAUAACUUCAGGAAACUGGGGCUAAUACCGGAUAGGAGCUCCUGCUGCAUGGUGGGGGUUGGAAAGUUUCGGCGGUUGGGGAUGGACUCGCGGCUUAUCAGCUUGUUGGUGGGGUAGUGGCUUACCAAGGCUUUGACGGGUAGCCGGCCUGAGAGGGUGACCGGCCACAUUGGGACUGAGAGACGGACCAGACUCCUACGGGAGGCAGCAGGGGGGAAUAUUGCACAAUGGGCGGAAGCCUGAUGCAGCAACGCCGCGUGCGGGAUGACGGCCUUCGGGGUGUAAACCGCUUUCGCCUGUGACGAAGCGUGAGUGACGGUAAUGGGUAAAGAAGCACCGGCUAACUACGUG
rnacentral:rRNA from 1 species